rnacentral:rRNA from 1 species
AGUCGAGCGGUAGAGAGGUGCUUGCACCUCUUGAGAGCGGCGGACGGGUCAGUAAAGCCUAGGAAUCUGCCUGGUAGUGGGGGAUAACGCUCGUAAACGGACGCUAAUACCGCAUACGUCCUACGGGAGAAAGCAGGGGACCUUCGGGCCUUGCGCUAUCAGAUGAGCCUAGGUCGGAUUAGCUAGUUGGUGAGGUAAUGGCUCACCAAGGCGACGAUCCGUAACUGGUCUGAGAGGAUGAUCAGUCACACUGGAACUGAGACACGGUCCAGACUCCUACGGGAGGCAGCAGUGGGGAAUAUUGGACAAUGGGCGAAAGCCUGAUCCAGCCAUGCCGCGUGUGUGAAGAAGGUCUUCGGAUUGUAAAGCACUUUAAGUUGGGAGGAAGGGCAUUAACCUAAUACGUUAGUGUUUUGACGUUACCGACAGAAUAAGCACCGGCUAACUCUGUGCCAGCAGCCGCGGUAAUACAGAGGGUGCAAGCGUUAAUCGGAAUUACUGGGCGUAAAGCGCGCGUAGGUGGUUCGUUAAGUUGGAUGUGAAAUCCCCGGGCUCAACCUGGGAACUGCAUUCAAAACUGUCGAGCUAGAGUAUGGUAGAGGGUGGUGGAAUUUCCUGUGUAGCGGUGAAAUGCGUAG